UACGUAGGGGGCAAGCGUUGUCCGGAUUUAUUGGGCGUAAAGAGCGUGUAGGCGGCCUGAAAGGUCAGCUGUGAAAACUCGAGGCUCAACCUCGAGAUGUCGGCGGAAACCGUCUGGCUAGAGUCCGGAAGAGGAGAGUGGAAUUCCUGGUGUAGCGGUGAAAUGCGCAGAUAUCGAGGAAGAACACCUAUGGCGAAGGCAGCUCUCUGGGACGGUACUGACGCUGAGACGCGAAAGCGUGGGGAGCGAACAGG
rnacentral:rRNA from 1 species